rnacentral:rRNA from 1 species
AACCUGCCCUAAAGUGGGGGAUAACAUUUGGAAACAGAUGCUAAUACCGCAUAAAACCUAACACCGCAUGGUGUAGGGUUGAAAGAUGGUUUCGGCUAUCACUUUAGGAUGGACCCGCGGUGCAUUAGUUAGUUGGUGAGGUAAAGGCUCACCAAGACCGUGAUGCAUAGCCGACCUGAGAGGGUAAUCGGCCACACUGGGACUGAGACACGGCCCAGACUCCUACGGGAGGCAGCAGUAGGGAAUCUUCCACAAUGGACGAAAGUCUGAUGGAGCAACGCCGCGUGAGUGAAGAAGGUUUUCGGAUCGUAAAACUCUGUUGUUGGAGAAGAAUGUAUCUGAUAGUAACUGAUCAGGUAGUGACGGUAUCCAACCAGAAAGCCACGGCUAACUACGUGCCAGCAGCCGCGGUAAUACGUAGGUGGCAAGCGUUGUCCGGAUUUAUUGGGCGUAAAGCGAGCGCAGGCGGUUUCGUUAAGUUCUGACUGUGAAAGCCCUUCUGGCUCAACCGAAGUAAGUGCAUCUGGAAAGCUGGGAAACUUGAGUGCAGAAGAGGACAGUGGAACUCCAUGUGUAGCGGUGAGAUGCGUAGAUAUAUGGAAGUACACCAGUGGCGAAGGCGGCUGUC